CAGGACUAUUUGCAAAAAUGGGGCUCAACAGGCCAAAUUAGAAGCCCAGAUGAGAAGAAGUUUCAAAGGACCCUGACUAAAGUUGGCACAGAAGAGAGUCUUUGUCACUGUGCAGGUGAUGGAUAGAAACAGAAACUAAAAGCUACUGUACUACACAAAGUUGGAGAAAAUUCUCUUUGUGGUUUAUUGAGUUUAGGGAGAUAAAAAGCACCAUCUUGCAAAUAUAUACUUUGGGUUCAAGAGGGUCUAUGGUAAAGGGUACAUAGCAUUAUAUACAAUGUAUUCUCAUUUCUGGAAAACCAACUCAAUAAUCGUUUUUUACUCCAGUGUAUCAGUAUCAUCAUUACCUGGUAGAAAGAAGAGUCCAUUAGACAACUCUUCAAAGAAUA
rnacentral:lncRNA from 1 species